rfam:Triticum aestivum genome assembly, contig: Triticum_aestivum_CS42_TGACv1_scaffold_641153_T_3B-0.259559_6BL-0.190221
CAUGUACUCCCUCCGUCCCGAAAAGAUUGUCCUUCAAAUGAAUGUAUCUAGCAUCAAGUUAGUGCUAGAUACAUCCAUCUGAGAGACAAAUUUUGGACAAACUUUUUUGGAUGGAGGGAGUAUCCC